GACUGACGGUGACAACUACCCUGAGACAUUGUGCUGAAUGUUUAUCAUCAAUGCUGGCCGUGGUUUUAGGCUGUUGUGGAGCAUUGUGAAGUCUUUUAUUGAUCCAAAAACCACUUCAAAGAUUCAUGUUCUUGGAAACAAAUACCAGAGUAAGUUGCUUGAAAUAAUUGAUGCUAU